CACGUAGGGGGCAAGCGUUGUCCGGAUUUAUUGGGCGUAAAGAGCUCGUAGGCGGUUCGGUAAGUCGGGUGUGAAACCUCCAGGCUCAACCUGGAGACGCCACCCGAUACUGCUGUGACUAGAGUCCGGUAGGGGAGCGUGGAAUUCCUGGUGUAGCGGUGAAAUGCGCAGAUAUCAGGAGGAACACCAGCGGCGAAGGCAGCACUCUGGGACGUGACUGACGCUGAGACGCGAAAGCGUGGGGAGCAAACAGG
rnacentral:rRNA from 1 species